GUUGUUUUCCUUUGAUUGAUUUGUCUAAAAAAGGUAGUUUUCCAUUGAUUCUUAGAUCGUGAGAUAUUUCUUAAAAAACGCUCGUGAGAUCCCUAAUUACGUAGUCACUUUCCCGCUGAUCCAGAAGUCCCGAUUCCCAUCUCAGGCGGCAGCGGAGGCGCAGGUGGUGCAGCAUGCACAACAUCGCCGAGCGCCUCCGGUCUCCACUCUCCAGCCUUUACGCACACGGCGAACAUCACCUCAUCGCCGAGUUUCAUCAGCCACGCGAUCUCGACUAAUUCACGAGGGAUAAAAGAAAAAGAAAACAACGUGAGGUCUUCUUGGUAGAAUCACAGAGAUGAACGAUGAUACUAGUGCGUCGAUGAACAAGGUGAUACUAGUGCGUCGAUGAACAAGAUGAUGAACCCCUGACACUCAUGGUGUUUGAAGAUAUAUUUGGAUAUUUAUUGAGAACGGGCACCCUGAAUCAUUCAAUGAUAAUGAACUUGAAAAGUGUUGCACAAAUUGCAUAAACUAUGUCUCUCGAUGGUUCAUCUGAUGCUGGGGUAUAUGAUUUUAUUUUGCAAUUAAAGGUUAUAAAGUUCACUUUGCCCAAUGGCUUAAUGUUGAUAUGAAGAUUUUCGAUCA